rnacentral:rRNA from 1 species
CCAAUCGAACCCGGAGAUAGCUGGUUCUCCUCGAAAUAGCUUUAGGGCUAGCCUCAUAUAAGUCUUGCGGAGGUAGAGCACUGAAUUUCCUAGGGGGCGUCAAAGCUUACCGAAGAAUAUCAAACUCCGAAUGCCGCGUAGAUGGUGUAUGGGAGUCAGACUGCACGAGAUAAGUUGGGUAGUCAAAAGGGAAAGAGCCCAGACCUGCAGCUAAGGUCCCAAAAUGUGUGUUAAGUGGAAAAGGAUGUGGGAUUUCAAAGACAACUAGGAUGUUGGCUUAGAAGCAGCCAUACAUUCAAAGAGUGCGUAAUAGCUCACUAGUCGAGAGGUCCUGCGCCGAAAAUGUCCGGGGCUGAAACACACUGCCGAAGCUCAGGGAUGAACAGUGAUCAAUACAGAUCAAUGCAAGAGGAAAGCUUCUUGAUGAAAUCAAGAAGAUUCCAAAACAGAUGAAACAGACUGCUGUUGGUCUGCGUUGAUCACUGUUCAUCGGUAGAGGAGCAUUCUUAAAGAGACGAAGCUGUACCGAAAGGAGCAGUGGAUUUUUAAGAAGAGAGAAUGCCGGAAUGAGUAGCGAGAAAGAGGUGAGAAUCCUCUUGGCCGAAUAUCUAAGGUUUCCAGGGUAAAGCUGAUCUGCCCUGGGUAAGUCGGGGCCUAAGGCGAGGUCGAAAGACGUAGUCGAUGGAUAACAGGUUGAAAUUCCUGUACUAUCCUGUAACAGAACUGUGGGGACGCAGACAGAGAGCACAAGCCGGGAAUGGAAAGACCGGUGCAAGCGAGGUAGGAGUACAUCAGGCAAAUCCGGUGUGCAAUCCGAAGACGUGAUGCGGAUCGAAAAGAAGUAGAGAAGUGUGUGAGCUGGCUGCCAAGAAAAGCCGCUAUUGUUUACAGGAUACCCGUACCGUAAACCGACACAGGUGGAUGAGGAGAGAAUCCUAAGGCCGACGGGAGAAGCAUUGUUAAGGAACUCGGCAAAAUGACUCCGUAACUUCGGGAGAAGGAGUGCCAUGCGAAUGGCCGCAGAGAAUUGGCCCAAGCAACUGUUUAGCAAAAACACAGGUCUAUGCGAAACCGAAAGGUGAGGUAUAUGGGCUGACGCCUGCCCGGUGCUGGAAGGUUAAGAGGAGAGGUUAGCGCAAGCGAAGCUUUGAAUUUAAGCCCCAGUAAACGGCGGCCGUAACUAUAACGGUCCUAAGGUAGCGAAAUUCCUUGUCGGGUAAG